rnacentral:piRNA from 1 species
AGCAGCCGCCAAUGGGGUAACUU